rnacentral:hammerhead_ribozyme from 1 species
AUCUGACUGACGAGUCCGAAAUAGAACUAAACGCGCGUCGGACUGUAU